rnacentral:rRNA from 1 species
GACGAACGCUGGCGGCGUGCUUAACACAUGCAAGUCGAACGGGAUGAUCUUAAAGCUUGCUUUUAGAGAAUCUAGUGGCAAACGGGUGAGUAACACGUAGACAACCUGCCGACAGGAUGGGGACAACAUUCCGAAAGGAAUGCUAAUACCGAAUGAAGUCAGAGAAGGGCAUCCUUUUCUGAUGAAAGAUGGCCUCUGAAUAUGCUAUCACCUGUCGAUGGGUCUGCGUCUGAUUAGCUGGUUGGUGAGGUAACGGCUCACCAAGGCGACGAUCAGUAGCCGGUCUGAGAGGAUGAACGGCCACAUUGGGACUGAGACACGGCCCAGACUCCUACGGGAGGCAGCAGUGGGGAAUCUUCCGCAAUGGGCGCAAGCCUGACGGAGCAAACGCCGCGUGGAGUGAAAGAAAGGUCUUCGGGAUCGUAAAGGCUCUGUUGAAUGGGG